rnacentral:rRNA from 1 species
UACGUAGGGACCAAGCGUUGUUCGGAUUUACUGGGCGUAAAGGGCGCGUAGGCGGCAUGACAAGUCACUUGUGAAAUCUCUGGGCUUAACCCAGAACGGCCAAGUGAUACUGUCGCGCUAGAGUGCGGAAGGGGCAAUCGGAAUUCUCGGUGUAGCGGUGAAAUGCGUAGAUAUCGAGAGGAACACCUGCGGCGAAGGCGGGUUGCUGGGCUGACACUGACGCUGAGGCGCGAAAGCUAGGGGAGCGAACGGG